rnacentral:rRNA from 1 species
AGUGCCCGAAGUCCGUGACCCAACCCUCGGGAGGGAGCGGCCGAAGGCAAGUUUGGUAACUGGGGCGAAGUCGUAACAAGGUAGCCGUAGGGGAACCUGCGGCUGGAUCACCUCCUUU